GACUCUGGUUUCUCUUCAAUUACGCACAAGCCUUCGCCUUUUUACUAAAGACGUUCCGUGGAGAGGAAACACUUACGAGCUUCAACGUAUUUUUGGAGCGGCUUGUGCUUCGUGCAAGAG
rnacentral:snRNA from 1 species